rnacentral:tRNA from 1 species
GCCCACGUGGCGCAGAGGUAGCGCACCUCUUUGGUAAAGAGGAGGUCAUGGGUCCGAUUCCCAUCGUGGGCUCCA